rnacentral:sRNA from 1 species
GGAUGGAUCACCUCCUUUCUAAGGAAACCAAUAAAAUCAAUCAUCUUCAGUUUUGAAAGACUUAGGAUAACUAAGUUUUUCUUCGUGACUUCACGAAGGGCCUAUAGCUCAGUUGGUUAGAGCACACGCCUGAUAAGCGUGAGGUCGGUGGUUCAAGUCCAUUUAGGCCCACCAGAGUUAUAGGUGUCGUAAGAACACAAAUUCUUUGAAAAUUAGGUAAAUAAUAGUUAUUUUUCCGGAACAUUAAAGGAAAUAAGAGCGCACAGUGGAUGCCUAGGCACCAAGAGCUGAUGAAGGACGCAAUUAACGGCGAUACGCUACGGGAAGCUGUAAAUAAGUGUAGAUCCGUGGAUUUCCGAAUGGGGCAACCUACUAUAAGUAGUUAUAGUAUCAAUUUAUUAGGCAACUAAUCGAUUGAAAGGAACGCAGUGAACUGAAAUAUCUAAGUAACUGUAGGAAAAGAAAGUAAUAACGAUUCCGGUAGUAGUGACGAGCGAACCCGGAACAGCCGGAUACCAAUUCCUAGUUAUCAAAUUUUAAUGAACUCGAAAUAGUUGGAAAACUAUAUCCUAGAAGGUGAAAAUCCUGUAGAGGUAGAUUAAAAUCUAGGGUAUCCUUAAGUACGGCGAGACACGAGAAAUCUUGUUGGAAGAUAGGAGGACCAUCUCCUAAGGCUAAAUACUCCUUGGUGACCGAUAGUGAACUAGUACCGUGAGGGAAAGGCGAA